rnacentral:rRNA from 1 species
GACGAACGCUGGCGGCGUGCCUAAUACAUGCAAGUUGAGCGCUGAAGGUUGGUACUUGUACCAACUGGAUGAGCAGCGAACGGGUGAGUAACGCGUGGGGAAUCUGCCUUUGAGCGGGGGACAACAUUUGGAAACGAAUGCUAAUACCGCAUAAAAACUUUAAACACAAGUUUUAAGUUUGAAAGAUGCAAUUGCAUCACUCAAAGAUGAUCCCGCGUUGUAUUAGCUAGUUGGUGAGGUAAAGGCUCACCAAGGCGAUGAUACAUAGCCGACCUGAGAGGGGGAUCGGCCACAUUGGGACUGAGACAAGGCCCAAACUCCUAAGGGAGGCAGCAGGAGGGAAACUUCGGCAAUUGACGAAAGUCUGACCGAGCAACGCCGCGUGAGUGAAGAAGGUUUUCGGAUCGUAAAACUCUGUUGGUAGAGAAGAAAGUUGGUGAGAGUGGAAAGCUCAUCAAGUGACGGUAACUACCCAGAAAGGGACGGCUAACUACGUG